AUACGGAGGAUGCAAGCGUUAUCCGGAUUUAUUGGGUUUAAAGGGUGCGUAGGCGGAUGAUUAAGCGUGAGGUCAAAUGUCACUGCUCAACAGUGGAACUGCCUCGCGAACUGGUUGUCUUGCAUGCUCCUGCCGUGGGAGGAAUGCGUGGUGUAGCGGUGGAAUGCAUAGAGAUCACACAGAACACCGAUUGCGAAGGCAUCUCACGAAGGGGUGAUUGACGCUGAGGCACGAAAGCGUGGGGAUCAAACAGGAUUAGAUACCCUGGUAGGCCACGCAGUAAACGAUGAUAACUAACCGCUGGGUCGUAGUGAUUCAGUGGCCAAGCGAAAGCGAUAAGUUAUCCACCUGGGGAGUACGACCGCAAGGUUGAAACUCAAAGGAAUUGACGGGG
rnacentral:rRNA from 1 species